rnacentral:tRNA from 1 species
GCCUCAGUAGCUCAGAGGCCAGAGCGCUUGACUUGUAAUCAAGAGUGCGCGGGUUCAAAUCCCGCCUGGGGCU